rnacentral:rRNA from 1 species
UUCUGACCGUAAACGAUGCCAACUAGCGAUCCGCCGGUGGAUUCCUUGCCCUGGUGGGGAGCUUCCCGGAAACGAAAGUCUUCCGGUUCCGGGGGAAGUAUGGUUGCAAAGCUGAAACUUAAAGGAAUUGACGGAAGGGCACCACCAGGAGUGGAGCCUGCGGCUUAAUUUGACUCAACACGGGGAAACUCACCCGGCCCGGACACCGUAAGGAUUGACAGAUUGAUAGCUUUUUCAUGAUUCGGUGGAUGGUGGUGCAUGGCCGUUCUUAGUUCGUGGAGCGAUUUGUCUGGUUUAUUCCGAUAACGAGCGAGACUCUAGCCUACUAAAUAGUUCGCACAUUGUCUCUGUGUGUGUGACUUCUUAGAGGGAUUUUCGGUGUUCAGCCGCACGAAAUUGAGCAAUAACAGGUCUGUGAUGCCCUUAGAUGUCCGGGGCUGCACGCGCGCUACACUGGCAAAAUCAGCGUGCUUGUCCUUCCCCGAAAGGGGUUGGUAAACCCUUGAAAAUUUGCCGUGAUUGGGAUUGGAAAUUGCAAUUAUUUUCCAUGAACGAGGAAUUCCAAGUAAGUGCGAGUCAUCAGCUCGCGUUG